rnacentral:misc_RNA from 1 species
CUGGGUUUGGUCUCAGUGAAAAGGUACUUCAGUUUUCCAAAGCUAAUAAAAAAAGGGGAAGAUUUUAAAUUUUUGGUUAGUUUAGGUUUUUCAAAUUUCUGUUAUUUUUGGAAUUGGAAAAAGCGCGAAACAUUUAUUUUUGGGGGAGAUUUAAAUGCCUUUUUUUUUUUUUUGACUUGAUUAAGGCACUUCUUCAAUUGCGGGCCUCUGUAAUGGAAUUUCUAGAAUUUCAGUGAAAGUGGUUGACUUGGUCUGGUCCUUUCUUUUCCUUCUCUUUUCAUUUUUUUUCCUGGAAAAUUUGUUAUGGUUGGGCUUUAUUGGCUAUUUUCAUUUUUAAAAAAUUAAAAUUUUGUUUCUAUUGGUGUUAAAUUUAUUCAGUCUCUUAUAAGCUGAAAUAAUAAUGAAUUUUUUUGACUAUUAUAUAUAAUAAAAAGUAUAAAUUUGUCUUUUCUUUAGUUAUAAUUUCACAGUUUUUUUUUAUCAGUAUUUCUUUUCCGUUUUGGCGCCUUAAUAUUUAAUGUUACUUUGCCUUUUCAUAGCUACUUUGCUUAUGGUUCUUCACCAUUAAAGUAAAAAUAAAAAGAAUAUAUAUAUAUUUUUCAGCUAAUUUCUGUUGUUUUCCUUUAAAAAAAAAAAAAAA